rnacentral:rRNA from 1 species
UACGAAGGGGGCUAGCGUUGCUCGGAAUCACUAGGCGUAAAGGGUGCGUAGGCGGGUCUUUAAGUCAGGGGUGAAAUCCUGGAGCUCAACUCCAGAACUGCCUUUGAUACUGAGGAUCUUGAGUUCGGGAGAGGUGAGUGGAACUGCGAGUGUAGAGGUGAAAUUCGUAGAUAUUCGCAAGAACACCAGUGGCGAAGGCGGCUCACUGGCCCGAUACUGACGCUGAUGCACGAAAGCGUGGGGAGCAAACAGG